UACGGAGGGGGCAAGCGUUGCUCGGAAUUACUGGGCGUAAAGCGAGCGUAGGCGGUUAGUCAAGUUGGUGGUGAAAGCCCGGAGCUCAACUCCGGAACUGCCAUCAAAACUGACUUACUUGAGAUUGGUAGAGGAAAAUGGAAUUCCUAGUGUAGAGGUGAAAUUCGUAGAUAUUGGGAAGAACAUCGGUGGCGAAGGCGAUUUUCUGGGCCAUAUCUGACGCUGAGGUUCGAAAGCGUGGGUAGCAAACAGG
rnacentral:rRNA from 1 species